GUUUAGCAAUAUAUCGUCAACUGAAAACUAUUUCAUAAAACCUCCAAUUCCCAAAUUUAAAUGAGCAUAAAAUGUUUUAGGAUAUUUUGGGAUGUUUGUGAAAAUUUGGUUGUGUAGGUGACUAUAGGUGAACUAGAUAAGUAAGUGUGUGUGUGUGUGUAGGUAGAUGUCAUAACAUUUUGCAAUUCUUUAACCAAACUCUGGAGAAUAAACACCAAGUUUUAUGUGUAUUUUGCGAAGUUAAAUAUUUUAUUCAUAAUUCGGUUAGUAAUCAAAACUUUCGAGAAAUGCGGGCGGUUUUCUUAUCCGCUUGCUUGUUCGUUUAUCCACAAAUUGACCAUUCGCCAUGGACUCGUUUAAAGCCCGGGCUGCGUCGGUUGUCGAUCACAGAUGUUUUCUCGUUUUGAUCCACUCAGAUUACUGGAACUCGGUUGUGUCACAAUGCUUUUCCGUAUCGAUUCAUCGUCAGUGGACAAAUUGGCCAGAUUAUUCAGUGUCUCUUGCUUAGAACUUGGCAAUUUUGAGAUUUUCGGACGGACGACGGCUGGCGACAGGGUGGUACCAAAUCUUCUGGAUUCUCUUCAGUCUGGUCAUUCAACUCUUUGUGUUCAUGUCCGUUUAACGUGUGUAAAUUAAUAUUAUUGAAAUCGUGAUUUGUAAAAACUCCUUGAUAAUACAGUCGAUCCGCCUCCGGCAUUAU